rnacentral:rRNA from 1 species
CGUGUAGGCGGUUUUUUAAGUCUGAUGUGAAAGCCCCGGGCUCAACCCGGGAAGUGCAUUGGAAACUGGGAGACUUGAAUACGGGAGAGGGUAGUGGAAUUCCUAGUGUAGGAGUGAAAUCCGUAGAUAUUAGGAGGAACACCGGUGGCGAAGGCGGCUACCUGGACCGAUAUUGACGCUGAGACGCGAAAGCGUGGGGAGCAAACAGGAUUAGAUACCCUGGUAGUCCACGCCGUAAACGAUGAGAACUAGGUGUUGCGGGUAUUGACCCCUGCAGUGCCGCAGCUAACGCAUUAAGUUCUCCGCCUGGGAAGUACGGUCGCAAGACUAAA